ACGCAGGCAGAUUCAUUCUCCACGAGGCUGUGCCCAACCGUGUUGGAAAGAAAGACCACCGGUUACUAAGGCAAACUCAUUUAGGCUUACCCUAAUCAAUAAAUUCAAACGAAAUUCCACCUGGCUCACUGUCAAGUGACUUCUCUUUGCUUAACCCUCAUGAUGAGUGACACAGCUGCUUCACCAUCCUCAGCCCCGAAGCCCUGGCUCACCUAGGGCAGGCGCCCUGAUGCUAGCCUGCCUGCUCUGCCAACACGAUCAGUCCUCUGUCCUCUGGACAGCCGGUCACAUGCCUCGUCCACCUCCUCCCUCACUGAGAUGGUACCAAGUCCUGCUGUUCAUGAUACCUUUGGAAAAAACGCAGAGCGUUCGAUGGUUCAUUACUGCCCGCUGGAUGCAAGGAGAACUCUGCUGCCUUCAGCGUUUUCCUUGGGAUCCCUGAGCACCAGCCCGGUGCUGUGCUGGGGACUAUGUCAGCUAGAGGAUAAAGGGAAUCUCUUGGUCCAUGAAUCUCAACUGGAACGCCCACAGGAUCCUAGCUCACCAAUCUGAACACAGAGGUUGUACCUGUGAUCAGCCAGCCCUGGCUCUGCUCACAGAUGAGGAAUCUGCCUUUGUCAGUACCUGCUGUCUAGACGCACAGCUGGGUAUCUACAAAGUGGCUGCCAUUUGUCCCAUAAUCCUGAAGUCCACUCCCAUGAGGCAGCCACAUUAACACUUUCUGAACCUUCACCAUCACGCCCAUUCCCCCUGGAAGGGCUUCAGCUGGAUGACCCCAACAGCCCCUCACCUCACGCAAGGCUUAAACUCUCUCCAAGCCAUUCAUGUUAGCAACGGUCCCCGAACUUGGCUGAUUAUAUCUGAUUGCACUCCAACAGCAAAAAAAAAAAAAAAAAGAAAGAAAGAAAGAAAAUUCCAGCAUGUUCCCUCACCCUCAAUAUCUAUCACCUAUCUAGAUAUCUACCUAUAACUUAUGAGUUACAGAGAUUUAUAUAAUCUAUGUAGAUAGCAUAAUAUAGAUUCAUCAUUGUCACUACUGACUCAACAGAGUCACCUGCACACCCUCCCUGUGUAUUAGGCAGCAGACUCUUGCACUGGGGCAGGGGCUGAACUUGCUCCGAUUACUAACUCAGAGUUGGCCCUAAGGAAGGCGCAUUCUCAUUCCUCCUCCUGAGUCCUCCUGGGCAGUGGGCUGGAACUCAGUUUCUCCCUCCUCGCCUAACUCCAGCCGAGCGUGGACCAGGGCCUCCCCGCCCCCGGAACCCACCCUGGGAGACGUUCGCUGAGACACCACCAAGGAGCCUCACCAUCCUCAGUUCACCGAGUCUGAGGUUCCUGCGGAGGCUAGAAACCAGCCUCCAUCAGACCAGGACCGACUCCGUGUUUUACUGUGGAUGAUUCACUGGACCUGAGAAGAGGGUCUCACUCACGGGCUUCACUUUACAGAGGAAGUGACAGGAUGGGACAGAGCUGCAUCUUCUUGGGCCCCUUUCCGCCCGACCUUGGGGUGCCCGUGGGUCCUGGCCUCUGACCCUUCCACCUGUCACUGAGCUCACGCUUCAGCAGACCUCAUCUCCUCCCAUGACUUUGAACGACAUCUGUUUUUCUUUAUUUUAGUCUUUUUAGGGCCGCACCCACGGCAUAGGGAGGUUCCCAGGCUAGGGGUCGAAUUGGAGCGGCAGCUGCCAGGCUACACCACAGCCACAGCCAUGCCAGAUCCAAGCCACAUCCGUGACCUAUGCUGCAGCUUGUGGCAACACCAGAUCCUUAACCCACUGAGCGAGGCGAGGGAUCGAACCCACCUCCUCAUGGACACUAGUCAUUUUCUUAACCCGGUGAGCCACAACGGGAGCUCUAAAUGACACCCAUUUUUCAAGAUUUUUAAAAAUUAAAGUAAAAAGGACAUCAAGUGAAAUGCAUGUAUCUUAAGUGUGCUGUUAGAUGAUGCUUGAAAAACAUAUAUACUUGUAUCACCAGCAUCCCAACCCCAAACAAGAUAUAAAAUACUUCCACCACACCAGAGACUCCUUUUGUCUUGCAGUCAAUUCCUGACUCUCCCUGCUCUGACUCCCACCUGCCUAGACUCGUCAUACACGUGGAAUCCUACAGUUAAGUCUCCUUCCUGUCCGCCUUCUUUCGCUGAGCACCAAGUUUUUAAGAUUCACCCUGUGUUGCUGAGUGUGUUAGGAGUUCAUUGGUUUUGACCACUGGGUCGUUUCCAUUGUGCAAAUAUACAAUUGGGUUUCAGCUCAACUUGUAAAGAACUGGAAGUUGUCACGCCCACCUUUACAACCAGAAAAAGCUAAACCACAAAAAUCCGUGAUUUCUCUUAGGCCCAUCAGAGAACUGAGGCUACCGGGAAACUAUUGCCCCAGAAUCUGGAGAGACGGGUAAAUGCAUUCCCAUUUGAGAACAGAAGCCUGUAAAGCCAUCAACUGGAGGGAACCCUUAAAUGAUAAUUCUGACAAAUUGGUGGAGGCUGAGGGGGGAAGUGACCUCAGUGUCUCAGGGAGACCCCACCCCCACCCCCACAUCCGCAGGUUUUGACCUCCAACGACCCCACUGGCUUCUCUCUCAGAAACACCCUCAUGAAAACAAGCUUUUGUUAGCUGAGCAGCCCUCAGCCCAGUCGAUGUGACACAGAAAAUUAACGAUCACAGACCCAGAAAAAAGAAUUCCAUUCUUCUCAUUCAUAGGCCUGAGAUUCAUUUUAAACAUAGUCAAGUAUUAAUUUUUUU
rnacentral:lncRNA from 9 species